GCUGAUCUGCUUACCUCACACUAUGGUCUGACACGCGGUGUGACUCAGGCGCGCGCGUCUAGCGUUGUAUUUGAGCGGCGUGGGCACGACACGCCUCUUCAGAAAGACGCGAGAAGCUCGAGAGGACGGCGUUAUGAAGAGCAAGACACUUAACCUCAGGAAGACACGAAGUGACCAGCUGUUUCUAAAGGAAAUUCACUCAAGCCAAACUCAUCCAGACCCUGCUUUCUGGAAAAGGGCACAGUUAGCCAUUCCAAAAAAAUCUCCAACUUGAGGAACAUCAUCCUUUACUGCAAACAAAUUUCCUUAAACAUCUGUGUGGGUGCUGGAACAUUACAUGUGACCUCUGAUAAACCAGGUACUAAAAUUAGAAACAAAUGAGCGAGCCAUAAACAGUGUUAUUUGAUAAUUUGUCAAAAUUGAUGUAAACAUAUAGCACAUACAACAUACUUCAAGUUCAUGACCUUAAAUUUCCCUUCAGUUAUAAAGUUUUAGCACUACUCAAUCCAGUUGUCCAUUUUAUUACUGUAGAUAAGCUUCAGUUAACCACUUUAAAGAUGAUAUAGAACAUAAUAGCGCUGUUGUCAGAUGUGUACCUUAUCUUUAACAAGUGCAUAAUAAAUAUUUCAGACAAAAAAACAAUUUAUGCCGACAUUUAUGCAGGAUUUAGGUGGAUUGCUAGUUUCAAAUGUAUAUAGUUUUUUAGACAAUGGAGGUAGAUAAACAUUGGGCUGUUUGGUCUAUGAGUAACCUUUUUAUUAGAGUAAUCAUUACUUAAAG